CUCGUAGGCGGCUUGUCGCGUCUGCUGUGAAAACCAGAGGCUCAACCUCUGGCCUGCAGUGGGUACGGGCAAGCUAGAGUGCGGUAGGGGAGAUUGGAAUUCCUGGUGUAGCGGUGGAAUGCGCAGAUAUCAGGAGGAACACCGAUGGCGAAGGCAGAUCUCUGGGCCGUAACUGACGCUGAGGAGCGAAAGCAUGGGGAGCGAACAGGAUUAGAUACCCUGGUAGUCCAUGCCGUAAACGUUGGGAACUAGAUGUAGGGCCUGUUCCACGGGUUCUGUGUCGUAGCUAACGCAUUAAGUUCCCCGCCUGGGGAGUACGGCCGCAAGGCUAAAACUCAAAGGAAUUGACGGGGGCCCGCACAAGCGGCGGAGCAUGCGGAUUAAUUCGAUGCAACGCGAAGAACCUUACCAAGGCUUGACAUAUACGAGAACACUGUAGAGAUACAGGACUCUUUGGACACUCGUAAACAGGUGGUGCAUGGUUGUCGUCAGCUCGUGUCGUGAGAUGUUCGGUUAAGUCCGGCAACGAGCGCAACCCUCGUCCUAUGUUGCCAGCACGUGAUGGUGGGAACUCAUGGGAUACUGCCGUGGUCAACACGGAGGAAGGUGGGGAUGACGUCAAAUCAUCAUGCCCCUUAUGUCUUGGGCUUCACGCAUGCUACAAUGGCCGAUACAAAGGGUUGCGAUACCGUGAGGUGGAGCGAAUCCCAAAAAGUCGGUCUCAGUUCGGAUUGGGGUCUGCAACUCGACCCCAUGAAGUCGGAGUCGCUAGUAAUCGCAGAUCAGCAACGCUGCGGUGAAUACGUUCCCGGGCCUUGUACACACCGCCCGUCAAGUCAUGAAAGUCGGUAACACCCGAAGCCGGUGGCCUA
rnacentral:rRNA from 1 species